rnacentral:snRNA from 1 species
UUGAUUCGCACAAUUGGUCA